GUUGAAAAAUGUUCAUUGAAUAAGCAUGACGGCGCUCGGGAUUCCAAGAACAGCAACUCGUAAGUAUUUAUCUAGGAAUUAACUAAUCUAACAUUUUUAAUGGCUUUUUCUUUUUUUCUUUCCCUCUAGAUAACACCUACGUCUGCCGACUCAACUUCCCGGGCUUCCAUCAGCGGACCAUGACCGGACACGGCUGGAGCAGGUCUGAUGCUGAGAAUGUACCUAGGUCUUUGCCAUGCAUAUUAGAGACCUGGUACGAGCUCGUUCCUCUUUUGGCGGUGAUGACAACCGGGGUAUAUUGAGGACCUAGCUUGGCAUUAAAGGACGAACCUGCAGCCGACUGCCUGAAGGACCUUUUGAAGACCCGUUGUCCUACGUCGAAGGUCGGAGCAUAUCUUUUGUGACCAUGCGCAAAGACCUUUCUUGCUGCUUUCUCUGAGGCGAUAGCGACACGUUCCGAAUACGCAGCUCGUAUUCUAGCUCAUCUACGGUUAGAUGUGCUACAUUCAUACCAUAGUACUGUAAGGUUAGGUGUGACAUCUCCAUUUUGUGUGAUGCAACAAUAAAAUGAACUGAGUUAAAAUCUAAGUAUAAAUUAUGAUACAGACUUUAAUUAACAAACACAACACUGAAUUUACACU